UACGAAGGGGGCUAGCGUUGUUCGGAAUCACUGGGCGUAAAGCGCACGUAGGCGGAUUGUUAAGUCGGGGGUGAAAUCCUGAGGCUCAACCUCAGAACUGCCUUCGAUACUGGCGAUCUUGAGUCCGGAAGAGGUUGGUGGAACAGCUAGUGUAGAGGUGAAAUUCGUAGAUAUUCGGAAGAACACCAGUGGCGAAGGCGGCUCACUGGUCCGGUACUGACGCUGAGGUGCGAAAGCGUGGGGAGCAAACAGG
rnacentral:rRNA from 1 species